rnacentral:rRNA from 1 species
CCUACGGGUGGCAGCAGUGGGGAAUAUUGCACAAUGGGGGAAACCCUGAUGCAGCGACGCCGCGUGAGUGAAGAUGUCUUUCGGUCUGUAAAGCUCUAUCAGCAGGGAAGAAGAAAGACGGUACCUGACUAAGAAGCCCCGGCUAACUACGUGCCAGCAGCCGCGGUCAUACGUAGGGGGCCAGCGUUAUCCGGAUUUCCUGGGUGUAAAGGGAGGGUAGACGGCUGUGCAUGUCUGAAGUGAAAGCCAAGGGCUCAACCCUGGGACUGCUUUGGAAACUGUGGAGCUAGAGUGCUGGAGAGGUAAGAGGAAUGCCUAGUGUAGCGGUGAAAUGCGUAGAUAUUAGGAGGAACACCAGUGGCGAAGGCGGCUUACUGGACAGUAACUGACGUUGAGGCUCGAAAGCGUGGGGAGCAAACAGGAUUAGAUACCCCAGUAGUC